UAAUCUUUUAUUGCCGGCUGGCUGUGUGGCAGGUUCCCAUAGACACCUACAGCCCUCAGCGAGGGGGCGGUGACCCCCGUGAUGACGUCACUCAGGCGCCUGCAGCAAUGGAAGGUCCCGCGCCGGGACAGGCAGGUGUGCGAUUUGGAACUGGAGGGAACCGCUCUGUCCGAGCCCGGCCGGGUACCCGGAGGGGAAGGACGGACUACGCUUCCCGACGCCCCGUGCGGCGGACGACCCCGGGCGAGUCCUCCCGCCGUGGCGCGGCCUUCGCGACAGCGGCCGCUCCUUCCUGCGGGACCGUCGUUCUUCCCGGCAGCUGGCCGCGCUUGCGGCGGUCGGUCGGUCGGUCUCUCUGCCAGGCCCCUCCCUGCGGCCCGAAGCCCUGGCUGGGGCGCAGCCGGUGACCCCAGUCACGGACGGUAGCAGGCCGCUCCCAAAUCUCAAGUCUAUACCCCUUGAGAGGGAAAAAACAAAACUCCUCCCCCUGGCCGCAAUUCCUGGGUAAAUUCGGGCCCUGAUCCUCGGCUUGGACCGAAGGUCUUCACCUUAUCCCCCGGCAGCAGAAUUCUCUUCUUAACGAUCCCAGCUCGUUGCCGUAUCACUGCCUGGCUCAGAAACUUCCCGCGGCUUCCCAACGUCCAAAUUCUUAGCAUUCGAUACGAGCAUUGUAUGUGCUACCUAGACACCCAGACUUCACCGGCUUUUUCCAAAAUGUUCUGUACGGACGCUGCGACGGGAAACGGCCCUCCCCAGAGAGCAGUCUGGUUCCUCUACAAAUACCGCACCCCUCCCCCUUCUUACACAAUCUGUGGCUGCCACUUGCUGUGGAGCAAGGGACCAGGGCUCCGGACCUGACAGCCAGAUUUCCUGUCGUUGACACCUAAGGCGGCCCAGUACCUGACGGAUCCAUUUACCCCUGAGCGGAAAACAAGACCAGGGUUUACGGGGAAAGGAGAUGAGCAGCAGCGCAGCGGGAAGCAGAUGUACCUCGGAAGACCGUCGUGUGACCCAUUAGAGAAAGGGGAGAGCAGACCAUGUCUGCGUCCUGGUGACUUUCCAUCUCUGGCUUCUGAUCCAGACAAACGUGUCUUAACAGUAACUUCCCUUUUAUUUAAAGUUUCCCAAAUGAGUGUUUUUUUUUCCCCCAGGUUAUUUGAGUGGAGGAGGCACCAGCUUACCCUCCAGCCUUAUCUCCCUCUACAUUGCCCUCCACACCCACAGCGCACCUGCUGUUGCUGGAACUCAGAACUCUCACUGCUGCCUUUCUGCUUUUGUCUUUCGGCCCGUUUCUUCCCCUUGCCUGGAACACCUUCCUCCCAGGUCUACUGGUUGUCAUCUACCAGCCACACCUGUCUCAUUGUUGUCAUGGAAAAAAGCCAGCAAACGUCUACACUACAGAAAGUCGCGAACAGUGAAUUUGGAACCACAUACCUGCCUUUAAAUUGUCAAGUGAGUGGCCUAUUUGAGCCGGUGUUUUCUUAUAAAGGAUUACCUGUCAUUUAGGGGAAAAGCAACCAGGACAGAUCCAAAUCCAUAGGAUCUAUGAAGCAGAGAGUACUUAGUAACAAGUUAUCGAUGGUAUCCAUUUCGGAAAACAAAUAUGUCUUUAGCUUACUUGUAGAAAACUAAUUUGUGGUCUCUUGGGUGUGGUUUUGUUUUUUUUUUUUUAAUCAUUUUUUCUUACCAAAUUUACAAGAAAAACAUUGCAUUUUUCCGUUCGAGCGUCCUCAGGCCUGGCGAGAUGUCUAGAUUCUGGCUUCUGAUGUGGGGGCUCCCUUGUACAUGUGGAGCCCAGUCCGUUGUUUAGAGGAACUGACUCAAAGGCUCAGUUCUUGCCUCACGGCCUCCCAGAUACUCAGUAACAUCUCCAAACUAAAGCUUUAGAACGUAACAUAAUUUGGAGGUUAGUUACACUGAUGACUUAAUUCAUUAAUGUCGUCUUCCCCUGAAAUGGUUAAUAGAUUUGGUCUAGAAGCCAAGGAGAUAUGAACUCAAAACGGAAAGAUACUUGUUCUUUGCAAGUUCCUAUGUUUUGCUUUACGAAGAGCUAUUCCUUCAUCUGAUGCGCUUCUGCAUAAUAAAAAUAAACCACAUUAUGUCUUUUAAAAUCCCUGGCUACGUUUCAUGGAGUGCUUUCCAGCUCUGACAGUUUAUAAUUCAGACAGCAUCUGAAGAAGUUAAUUUCUGGACCUGUGAUGUCAUGCUAACAAAUGGCCACGAGAUGUCAGUCUUUCCUUGUGUUUUUAGACACAAAUGGACUUUGGAACCACAUUUACGGUUCUAUUUGUGUGGCAUCCGCAGUGGAAGGCACUUUUCAGGGAGCAUCUGCCCCCUCACAGUCCAUCACGCAUGGUCCUAAGCUCCCUUUGCUCUGGUGUCACUGUCCUGGGUUACGGCAGUGACUUGUCCCCACGGGCCACUAUUCGGCCCUGGGCCCUCGCUUAGAGCCCAGCUCCCACCCUCGAAGUGAUGCAGAGUUGGGGGGAAACGCAGCCGCUUCCUGGAAGAUGGAGCUCGCUCAGAAAGCCGAAGAAUCCAUUUUUCAAGACAAGCAUCAUUGGGAGGAGAAUGCAGAACCCAUGUGAGUGUUGAUGAUGAAGCAUGACUUUAAAGGACUUUCACGGUUGUAUAAUCCUUUCCACGGGAGUUCAGGCUCACUCCCCUCGUGGGGUGUUCUGUGAACACCAGGCAGCAGUAAACCGCUUGUCCCGAGUCGCUUCUGGGGAUUUGCAGAGGGAGGUUGGGGUCUCGGGGGCAAGGGAGAGAGGCUUCCCUCAGGGAGGGCUGGUGGGCGGGGUGCGACCCACCCACCCCAAAGGAGAGGGAGGGAAGGAGGGAGGGGGCUGUGGGAUGGCCCACCCCAAGCCAGGCACGUGCCCUGGUGUCAUUCCAAGGGGACCCACUCCUGAGGCUGUGGGAGGUGGGGCGCGCGGGGGAAAAAAGGUGAGGGUUUUCUGCCCACUGGAUAUCGUGGGCCUGUUGGUGGAAGCCGCCCGGGACCCAGAGGGCGGCCCGAGGGAGGCAAGCUGCCUGGCAGGUGUUCUCGAUGCCACGGCCAAGGCAGAGUGGAAGCAGGCAGCCGGACGUCCAACGUGGCUCCUCCACCACCGUCAGAAGCACUGCCGCUGGGAAGGGUCCGCUUGGGCCCCCUCCUGGGUCUUGUACCAGCUGCAGACCAGGGCAGGGCAGCGGGUCAACAGCGUCAGGUUUUCCGAGGCAUUCGAGAACUCCCCGGCCCCCCGGCCCCUGGCCUGCAACUACCUUCUCCCGGUUGACUUUCAGCAGCAGGGGCCUGGCCCAGAAGACCCUCUGUGCUCCUCACUUGCCCCCCCAGGGGGCAGAGAGGAGCCCCAGGGCACUGAGGGGUAGGGAGCUCCCUCCUCCCAACCCCACCCCUCCCCUGCUACCCGCCCUGCGGUACUGGGACCCUUGAGCUGGGCCUGCUGGGCUCCCGCUGCUGGGGACCCGCAGACUCUGCCCAGAGGCUGCUCCGCAGUGGUGGGAGGAGGGAGAAGGGCCUGGGCCUCCCUUUUGGUACUGGCGGAUUCCAGGCCCUGUCAGUGUCUCUGCCUCGCUUUGCCCUGGGCCACAUCUGAGUCCUCCAAGAGUCCCUUCCCAGCCCCACAGGGCCCGUCCUCCCACGUCUGAACCUGAGCUCCAGGGGACGUCCUCCAGGCGUCCCUUCUUGCAGGUUCUGUCCUUUGCCUGAGGUCGCCUGCAGCCUGCGGGGUGGCAGGUGCCUCUGGCAGCACCGAGGUCCCCGUCCUGAAAGGAGGGGACUCCCCCUCCCAACAGCCUGCUUGUCCACGUCACACUCUGACCCUGAGCUGAGCAGCCUGUGAACCCAAGUCACCGCAGAACCAACCACGAGGGACCAUACCUUCUCCUCUGCCUGGAGAGCCCAGGCCCUGGCUGCAGCAGAGAAAAAGCCCGCCAGGCCUCCCCUAACCCUAACCCCUCUCCCUUCCCCACCCCGCCAGGCCUCCCCCUCCCCCAGCCUCCCUGGGGUAUCCCAGCACAGGCUGGAGCUCAGCCGGUGGGAGAAGUCAAGCCCAAGACAGGAGGUGAGCGGCCAGCAAGCUGUGCUGGGCUUCGUGUGGACGGAGACGCCUGCGAGGCCACGGGCCCAACACGGGGUCCAGGGUACCAGGGGCCCCAGACAGCCCGCGCCGUGGGGACCGGCGACAGAGAGCUCGGUCAGUGGAAUGGCUUCGCGGUGGCUCUGCCCAGGGUUGUUCUUGCUCACCUGCUGCACUUGUGCGGACCCUGCAGUCACUGCCCUCCCUGCUCUGCCCUCCGGGCCGUGCCUCAAAGGGGGCUCCAGGCACCUGGCUGCGAGGCCUGCACAGGACGCCCCUCUGGGCCGCCACUGAGGGGUGGUGCCGGGCGUCCCGGUGGCGGCUCCUCCCCUGGGAGUCUCCUUGGUGCUGCCGUGCAGGCCUGGUGGCUCGUCCCCUUGUCUUAUUUGGCUGUCCUCCCCGCUCGGCCCCCUCACCUCCCCACAUGGCCGAUCACCUGCGGGCCUGCUGGUGCCACGUCCCCGCCGUCCAGCUCCCCUCCACGGCCGCCACUACCAUCCGGGGACCGGCAGCCCCCGGACGGCCCGGGAGCCCCCCCCAGCCAGCUCCCGCCCUUCGCCACCAGCCGAGAUCGGUGUCCAGCUGUCCAUGAGGACGACACCGCCGACAGGAGAGAGGCAGACAGGCUCUGGAUCGAUGCACCGUCUCCCUCUCCACCAGAAACAGGAUUUGGACUCCUCCGUCGCCUCCUCCUCCUCCUCCACCGUCGCCAAGGCUCCCCGGGCUCCGGUCCGGGCCACGCUUCGUGCCACGUGACCCCACAGUCCUCCGGAUCUGGCCGGCCCUCUGCCUCACCCGGUCUCAGCCCAGACGUUACCUGCUCAGACCUUCCAGGCCCCUGUGCCCGCCCCCCCCCCCCCCCCCACGGCUCCUGCGUUUUCCUUCCCCACGGUAGCCCCGUUCUCCCAGGAGGAAGGUGAAUGUGAGAUGUGAAGGGGCCUCGCCGGGUCCACGCCGGGCCUCGUCCGCUGUCCUCCCUGGACCGGGGGCAGAGGGGCAGCCGCCUCCCCAGCCCCUCUCCGCCUCCCCCAGCUCUUUUCCGUCUUACACGCUUCCUGCAAAUGUACCUUAACAGGGGCCUCUUCCCUGCUCACCUCCAGGUGCCCUGAGACCAGACCCAGAGACCACGCUUCGUCCACCUUCUUUCUUCCCUUCCCCGGCACUCGGUCAUCACGCGGCAAACGUCGCCGGAUGACUGCGUGCGCCAGGCACACGGCGCCUCGGGGAGGGGAGGCCGGACGCGGCCCUGCCCUCGGGCCGCUGGCUCCCCGGCUUCCUGCGCAGCCCCUUUGUCUGCCUGGACCCUCCUCAGCGACUCGCUCCUUCCAGGCGCCCGCACCGCAGGCCCAGCCAGCUUCCGGCACCUUCCAGCGCCAAGACCUGCUACGCGAUUUGCGUGGCCCAGUGCAAGAUGAAAACGCCAGGCCCUGUGUUCACACGUACUGAGGCUUCGAAGGCACCGACAGCAAAGUGCCCUUCGUGAUUCCGGCCACACAGGAGCUCUCCUGCCCGCCCACGCUGGGUGUCUGUCCUCUCUCCUGGGGCCGUGGACAUAAGACCCGAGGGAGCCCUGGGACGCCUGCCGAGUGACCCCAAGAGGAGCCUGAGAAUGGAAUGUUCCUAAGAGGGAACGUUGGGGGAGAGGCGGCUUUGGGAGCAGCUGACCUCACAGGAUUUUUAGGCAGAUGGAGUGACCACGUGAGACCUGGGGGACAAUGGACUCGAUAUCAAGGGGGUCAGACCUAGAGGGUGGGGGACUCUGGAGGACAAUGCAGAGAUGAGCACAGAAGCCCAGAAGGCGGGGCCUGGCCAACGCCGGGUCAGGAGAGACUGUCACGAUGGGAGGCAGCUACUGUCACGGGGCUCUGGUCCCCACCACAGCACACCUGCCACCAGGCCUCCUCCGGGACGCCUCCUUGAGGAGGGCUCUCACUCCCAGAGAAAACGGACCUGCGCCAGAGAGCCGAGGCCUGGUGAAGGGGGCUCCGCUCCAAGGAGGUCCCCCAGGGCGUUUCCACAUCAGACGCCUGGAGUGAAGAAGCAGUCAUUCACCAAAGAGUUGUCGAAAGGAUCAAUGAGCACAUGAAUAUGUGGAUAUUCAUCUGAAUAAAAGUAUAACCUCGUGAGAUUAAACACCGGGAGCUCCGGCAGUCACACUCCUUGGUAUUUAAACAAAUGACUUGAAGACGUGUCUCCAUGAGAAAGCCUGCACACAUGUUUACAGCAACUUUAUUACAAAUUGUCAAGACUUGGAGGUAACCAAGAUGUCCCUCAGUAGGCGAGUGGAUAAACCGGGGUCCAUCCAGACAGUGGAAUAUUAUUCGGCACUAAAAAGAACUGAGCUGUUGAGCCGUGAAAAGACAGAGAGAGGAAUCUUAAAUGCAUAUUUUUAAUUUUUUUUUUAAGCUUAUUUAUUUAUUUUGAGAGAGAGAGGACAUGAUCGGGGAGGGGGCAGAGAGAGACGGAGACAGAGAAUCCCAAGCGGGCUCCGUGCUGUCAGCACAGAGCCUGACGUGGGGCUCGAACUUACGAAUUGUGAGAUUGUAAUCAACAACAGGACACUUAACCAGCUGAGCCGCCCGGGCACCCCAAAUGCGUAUUUUUCAAUGACGGAAGCCAAUCUGAAAAGGCUACAUGUUGCAGGACUCCCAACUCUGUGACCUUCUGGACAAGGCAAGACCGCGAAGACAGUAAAGGGAGAAGAUGGAAUUACUUCUCACUUGCAUGAAGAAUAAACAAAUCCGUCACGUUGGGCGGGAGCAUCGGGAGUCCUCACGGCGGUGCGGAAUCUUCGGUGCGUGAUGGUGUGUAGACCCUGAGUGGGCAAAGGGGUUCCUAGGGCACAUUUGGCACGUGGGCACUCCAAGUCCAUUGGACACUCUCGCAAAUGUGACUUCCCAGAGGUCCAAGGUUGAGGCGGUGUUUCUGUCAUUUUAUUCCAACUGCGUCACGCGGAAGUUAACUUCCAGGAAGCAGCCACCCACACCGGAGGCUGUCGCCCUGGCCCGUGGAGCCAGCAGGCAGGACAGAGAUGCUGGGUUUCUGCGGCUGCAGCCUGCUCUCUGGGCCCUCACUGCCUGCACCCAGAGGUGGCUUUCUAGUGCCCAGGAUGCAGCUAAGGGUGCAUGUUCCCGGGGACGUGGCUAAGGCUGCGCGUUCCUAAAGCAGGCUUCCCGCAGCGGCCUCCCCAGGCCUCACCUUCCUGCCCCGGGUAGGGGACGUAGCUCUACAGAAGGCCUUCCAGACUCAUUCUUGGAGCCUGGGGCACGGACCACUCCUCCCUUGGACACUGAUGGCAGCACACAAUUCUUUGCAGAAGAUCUCUUUCUGCUUAAAAUAGCUAGUGGGGCGCCUGGGUGGCUCAGUCGGUUGAGCGCCGGACUUCGGCUCAGGUCGUGAUCUCAUGGUUGGUGAGUUCGAGCCCUACGUUAAGCUCUGUGCUGACUGCUCAGCUCCUGGAGC